UACUCCGUCAAGCCCUUGGUGAAAGGAUCAGGCCUGUCUUGACUGUUAACAAGAUGGACAGGUGCUUCCUUGAGCUUCAGGUUGAUGGUGAGGAGGCUUACCAGACAUUCCAGAGAGUGAUUGAAAAUGCUAAUGUCAUCAUGGCUACCUAUGAAGAUCCUCUUCUUGGUGAUGUUCAAGUCUACCCUGAGAAAGGAACAGUUGCCUUCUCUGCUGGUUUGCAUGGUUGGGCUUUUACACUGACCAACUUUGCUAAGAUGUAUGCCUCAAAGUUUGGAGUUGAUGAGUCGAAAAUGAUGGAAAGACUUUGGGGUGAGAACUUUUUUGAUCCAGC
rnacentral:lncRNA from 1 species